UACGUAGGGGGCAAGCGUUGUCCGGAAUCAUUGGGCGUAAAGGGCUCGUCGGCGGUCCAUCGCGUCGGGAGUGAAAAGCUGGGGCUUAACCCCAGUCCUGCUUCCGAUACGGGUGGACUAGAGGUAGGUAGGGGAGAUCGGAAUUCCUGGUGUAGCGGUGAAAUGCGCAGAUAUCAGGAGGAACACCGGUGGCGAAGGCGGUUCUCUGGGCAUUACCUGACGCUGAGGAGCGAAAGUGUGGGGAGCGAACAGG
rnacentral:rRNA from 1 species